rnacentral:misc_RNA from 1 species
GAUGAAGAACGUAGCGAAAUGCGAUAGGUAAUGUGAAUUGCAGAAUUCAGUGAAUCAUCGAAUCUUUGAACGCACAUUGCGCCCUGUGGUAUUCCGCAGGGCAUGCCUGUUCGAGCGUCAUUUCAACCCUCAAGCCUCGCUUGGUGUUGGGCCCUGCCCGCCGCGGCCGGCCCUAAAGAUAGUGGUGGCGCCGCCUGGCCCUCAGCGUAGUACAGCUCUCGCUCCAGGGUCCGGCGGCAGCCUGCCAGAACCCCCCAACUCCGUGGUUGACCUCGGAUCAGGUAGGGAUACCCGCUGAACUUAAGCAUAUCAAUAAGCGGAGGA